GGGGAAAUGUUCCAUUUGAACAUCACUUGGACAUGGUCGGUUAGUCGAUCCUAAGAGAUGGGGAAUCCUUGUAUCAAGGGUGCACUCUUCAUGAACAUCGAAAGAGAAUUGGGUUAAUAUUCCCGAACUGGGACAUGGUGGUGGACGACAAUGUUAGGAAAUCUGGAGAUGUCAUCAGGGGUCUGGGAAGAGUUAUCUUUUCUUUUUAACGACUUUCCCACCCUGAAAUCGAUUCAACCGGAGAUAAGGUCCAACACCUGGAAGAGAACCACACAUCUUGCGGUGUUUGGUUCCCCCUCAAUGGCCAUUGAAAAUAUGGAGAACCGAGUACCAUCCAUGCCCGAUCGUACUCAUAUCCGCCUCC
rfam:Picea glauca, whole genome shotgun sequence.